rnacentral:tRNA from 1 species
GGGCCGUUAGCUCAGUUGGUAGAGCAAUUGACUUUUAAUCAAUGGGUCGCAGGUUCGAAUCCUGCACGGCUCACCA